rnacentral:rRNA from 1 species
CAUGCAAGUCGAACGAAGGCUUCGGCCUUAGUGGCGCACGGGUGCGUAACGCGUGGGAAUCUGCCCUUGGGUUCGGAAUAACAGUGAGAAAUUACUGCUAAUACCGGAUAAUGUCUUCGGACCAAAGAUUUAUUGCCCAAGGAUGAGCCCGCGUAGGAUUAGCUAGUUGGUGUGGUAAAAGCGCACCAAGGCGACGAUCCUUAGCUGGUCUGAGAGGAUGAUCAGCCACACUGGGACUGAGACACGGCCCAGACUCCUACGGGAGGCAGCAGUGGGGAAUAUUGGACAAUGGGCGAAAGCCUGAUCCAGCAAUGCCGCGUGAGUGAUGAAGGCCUUAGGGUUGUAAAGCUCUUUUACCCGGGAUGAUAAUGACAGUACCGGGAGAAUAAGCCCCGGCUAACUCCGUGCCAGCAGCCGCGGUAAUACGGAGGGGGCUAGCGUUAUUCGGAAUUACUGGGCGUAAAGCGCACGUAGGCGGCUUUGUAAGUUAGAGGUGAAAGCCCGGAGCUCAACUCCGGAACUGCCUUUAAGACUGCAUCGCUUGAAUCCAGGAGAGGUGAGUGGAAUUCCGAGUGUAGAGGUGAAAUUCGUAGAUAUUCGGAAGAACACCAGUGGCGAAGGCGGCUCACUGGAC